UACGUAGGGUGCGAGCGUUACUCGGAAUUACUGGGCGUAAAGCGUGCGCAGGCGGUUCGUUAAGUCAGAUGUGAAAGCCCCGGGCUCAACCUGGGAACUGCAUUGGAAACUGGCUUACUAGAGUGCGGUAGAGGGGUGUGGAAUUCCCGGUGUAGCAGUGAAAUGCGUAGAUAUCGGGAGGAACAUCUGUGGCGAAGGCGACACCCUGGACCAGCACUGACACUGAGGCACGAAAGCGUGGGGAGCAAACAGG
rnacentral:rRNA from 1 species